CCUGUUCCUUUUUUGUGGUCAGUUGUCCUCACCUCUCCUAUCUCGCCGCCGCGCCUAAGUAAGCGGGCGCAGGCGACGGCGCCGGCGCAGGUGUGCGGCCUCCUCCUCUUCGACCCUCGCGCACUCCGACGAGAGCAAUGAAUCGCUUUAGAAAAGAUACUGUAGGACAAUCCAAAGAAAAACCGUAAAAAGAAGAGAUGCGUCUCCGCUGUCUUUACCUCGAAAGCCUGAAGACCAACUGUACCUAACGGUAAGAAGACCCAGUUUACCUGUGUUCCGGCACAAGUCAAAAUCGAACGGACCGAGAAAACAUACACUAAAUGUUUAGUCGAAGGUCCGGAUAGUCUGAACAGCCCUCGAUAAACCAACGGAACAGACAGAGACAGACCUCGAUAAACCAACGGAACAAACAGAAACAAGAGGGGAAGAAGUACCUGACGUGGUCUCCUAAUAACACCGAGUACACCAAUACACAAUACUACCCACCACCGUUUUUCACGACCAUAGUAAAACACUAAGGUUGCUAACGAUACCGACAAGUAAAGGAUGCAUAACAAGGAGGAUAACGCGACAGCGAAGACGGAAGGACACACGAAUUACGAUAAUGAAUAACCUAUUGACCUCCUUACAGUCAACCUAUAAUACGAUGUUCAGGCAACUGUUUCUAUCAAGGUUUCGCAGUGUUUGUAUUGUGUACAUAAACGUGUUUUCUUCCACAGUAAGAAACCUCACCCAAGUAGUUUACGAAUAACUUUUGGAUACUGUUGGUUUUCUCGACCCGCCCUCUCAAACUCGAUUUACUAAAUUCUCACAUACUAUGUCAAAGGUCUUAGCUUUGUUGAGGAGAAAUACUCCGAGUAAAACGAUUAGACGAAGAACUGAACAGUUUUUACCGUUUCAAUGAUAGUCCAGAGGUAUACUCAUUAUAAGUCUUAGGUCCAGUCGAAGGCGACUUACACUUUGUCGACUAACGAGAAUACUGGCUCGGAGGUCAAUCACACUUAAGGGGUCUCCUUCUUUUCUUUCACAUAGAAUUCAUAGAGACGUUGUUAGGGCGACAAUUUAACUGACCUGCUGCGCUCCGAGACUUGUCUUCAUAGAACUUGAAUUCUGUUCGUCCACGUCCGGUGUUACGAAGACGGCUACGAAACUGUUGAACCAACUCGCAGGACUACUUGAGGUGACCGACCCGUGAACCACGAAAUACCCGACGACGAAACAACCCUAAUCACCUGCCUAACAGACAGGGAACAAAUCACAACCACAUAGGGAAAAAUGUAGUUUAGAUGUUUAGUCGUCGACAGAACUGACAUUCUUCACGACCCGUUAGUCUACGUAAAUUCACCGACUGUAUAAAUUAUUACCUUUACCCUCAAGACUACCUGUUGUUACUUUCCAAACCACUACAUAACAACCAAACGUCGAGAUACCACCGUUACCGGUACUUUCACCAACAUAAGACGAACCGGACGGAACGCUAAGGUAAACCAGCACAUAAGUGUCACAAUACGGGGAAACCAGCACAUCUGUGUCACAAUACGAGUCACAACGGAAACGGUCAUGAACACAUGAACUAAAUAUAUAGUCGGGGGUACAAGUAGUUUCAGCACCCUGCCCCGUAGGUUCAACGUCCUACCCCGUAGGUUUAACGACCUCCGAACCGGCGUAGUGCAUAACCUCCGGGUCAAUAGAACGUGCGAAUUUCUAAUCGUAAGACAGAGUACAUACAUUUAGAAGACCAACUACCACCGUGUUCCACCAACCAAGACAAAAAGGGGGAACAAGUCAAAGAAAUGGAACACAGGCGAGAACGAGGGUAUCAGCUUACCGACUACCACGAAGACGACGGGUGCCUAGAUGAAUUACAGUACUCAAUGAACCAGUAUCCUCUCUACAGUCAAGUUUCUAUAAGGGCUUCUGGUAACUGGUUUUUUCAGGCCGACGUCGUGUUGUUGAAACUAGAGGACUAAGAGUCGGUUCUCCCUCACCUGGAAACCGAACCUAAAUACUUCACGUAACAGAGUAGAAUAAUGUUAGUCUCUUCAACCCCGCCUUGUAAGGUAGAUUUCGUGUACUCUCACGCGCCUAGACUUAAGUUCUAGGUUGAGUAAGGACAAAUGUUCCCGUGAAAAUUCUUGGACGAUGACCUGAACAGCUCCGACCGCUGUGACGACAGUCCGAAAAUAUCCGGAUUGUAACUCUUGGUUCUAGUCGAGGGCGAUAUAAACUUCGUAAACUACCGGCAAUACUGGUCUGGCGCGCACCUAAGUCGAAGUAGACUCGUCGUCUUUCCUUCUAAGAACUUCAAAGACGAGUUAGUAGGAUGAGACUUCAGACGACCCGCGGCCUUCCGAGAUUACUCUCUAUAGGUUCUUCGUUAACGACCUUACCUACUUCGUCUUAGCUCUUCCCACUACGUCAGACAGCCAUUCUAAGCCUACUGGUCCUCUAGAACCUCCUCUCUUGGAUCCUUUCAAGGCAAUUACUCUUUCCAGAACAUGAAGCCCGUUCCUCCAUUUUGGGUGUGAUUCGUUCCGAUACUAUGAUGGCGUCGAGUCGACAAUUCUAAGUAGUCUUUAAAAAUGCGCGUGUGACCUCCGGCAUGAUGUAUAGAAGGACCGGCCGUGAACUACUAAUCGUACGAACUUCCUCUUAACCGGUACAGUGUGGAAAAGAGCCUAAAAUACCGUCUUCGCUAGAUGCCCGAACAGUACCUAUGACCGUACGUACCGGUCGAACUUCCACGUACCCUUGGCAUACGACUAACUCGUCAUCGUCAGGAAUCAACUCGUUCUUCUAGAAACUCGAAACCGACACGACUCCUUCUCCAAUCCUAACGGCGACUUACGGUGUUGUCCGUCGAGGUUAACAUCAAUGCGCUACUUCUACUCUUCCCUACAGUAAACAUAAACAACCAAUAAUCCAAUUGGCGUCAGGAGCUGUAAUGAUAUACGAUAGCUACCCACGUUUGGCAGUAGUCAGAUCGACCGACAAAGAGAAAUCUACAACCCAUUCACAAUACGACAACUACCUACCACGAUAGGGGCAACGACGGCUAGAAAGAAGAAGGAAGAAACCACUUCAUAGAAGGUCGCUAACAUUGAGUCUUGACAGUCAUCAUUUUUACGAAUCAAGUCAAGACGAGGUAAUGAAAAUACAUGUCGCGUGACAACCUUUGUAACCUACCGUGACAAACUUUCACUUACUCGUGUCAAGGUGUCGGUCAAGGCACCUUCAAAAAAAAUAUCUUGAGG
rnacentral:rRNA from 1 species